CUACAGAGGUUUCUGGGAUUUGCCCAUUUUUAUUGCGUUUUAUUCGCAACUUCAGCCAACUAGUCGCGCCCCUGACUGCUUUGACCUCCCCCAGAACGACGUUCAGGUGGUCUGAUACAGCAGAAGCUGUAUUUGCCAAACUUAAGAGCCGCUUCGGAGGGGACGCGGAUUUCAGUACCUGGUGGACUGGGAGGGUUACGGUCCGGAGGAGAGAAGUUGGGUUCCUGCUAGAGACAUUCUGGAUCACUCCCUUAUCGAUGAUUACAAUCGUUGGUGUGCUGUUGUGUGUGUGUCUGUGGGCGUGGUCAAUGAUCAGCGGUGAUCAGCAGCGCCAGCUGGAUUCUGUUUGUUCCUGUACCUGUUCCCGUGUCUGUCUAGUCGGUUUGGAUUCCCCGAGUUGUCAUCGUUCUUCCCUGGAUUACCACUCAGCACUGGAUCACCGAGCACCGUCACGAGGGUUACUACACUGACCGGAAAACCAUUCGAGGGAUCAUCACUGGAUUGAGCACCACCACCAGUUGUCCACCGAAGUCCCUGCGUCACUGUUCCACCCUGCCUUGUGUCCGCCCGCCUGUGCUUCUGUGUUACUAUCGUCAUUGUCUUUCUGAUCUUUGUGCUGAGUUAAUAAAUAGCGUUUUGCAUUUACA